rnacentral:rRNA from 1 species
GACGAACGCUGGCGGCGUGCUUAACACAUGCAAGUCGAACGGGCCCGCUCUCUUUUUUGGGGGUGGGUUGAGUGGCGAACGGGUGAGUAUCACGUGAGUAACCUGCCCCCUGCUCCUGGAUAACUGCUUGAAAGGGCGGCUAAUACGGGGUGUGCCGGCUGGUCCGCAUGGGCCUGGUCGGGAUAGUUUCAUCUUCGGGUGUUUCGGUGGGGGAUGGGCUCGCGGCCUAUCAGCUUGUUGGUGGGGUGAUGGCCCACCAAGGCGGUGACGGGUAGCCGGCCUGAGAGGGUGGGCGGCCACACUGGGAAUGAGACACGGCCCAGACUCCUGCGGGAGGCAGCAGUGGGGGGUAUUGCGCAAUGGGCGGAAGCCUGAUGCAGCGACGUCGCGUGAGGGAUGGAGGCCGUCGGGUGGUGAACCUCUUUCUCCGGUGGUGAAGGCCCUGUCCGUUGCGGCGGGGUUGACGGUAGCCGGGUAUGAAGCGCCGGCUAACUACGUG